UCCUACUCCCAAGUUCAUAAAGAUAUUUCCUAUCUUCUUCUAAAAGUUUUUGAGCCAGCACCGGGAACAUACCAAGUGCCUGGAGGCAGUUAACACCUGCUGUGCUGCCUUACACUUGAGACCUUGAUUAAAUCUAUUCUCUACACAUUUGCCUUGAGGCAUCGGAGCAGUAGUACUGCUUGUACUGUGCGUUUUCCAUAUGUGGGUAAGCUGGAGGUUCAUGGUUUUGGUAAGUAUGUGCCUAAGAUGCAUGGCAAUUAGGUAAAACUAAUUUGCAGUUUUGUUUUUGUUUUUAUUUUUUUAACGUUUGAUGCCUCUUGUUAAAGUUUUGAUCUCUUUUCUGAAGCAGAGAACACUACUUUUCUGGUAUUGGGUUUCUAUAUUAUUAAUAAUUGACCAACUAACAUACUUUAUAUAAAAGUUUUAAGUAAGAAGGACCAUGUAACUGAAAUGUUGUGUUAUGUAAUUAUAAAAGAGAUGAGGCUGUUGGUGGACCAUAACCUCAUCAGGAGCUGAGUCCAGUGCUGUGAAACAGUCAAUGCAUUAUAGUUGGAGUAGAAAUACAGUGUUCAGGCCAGGCGCCAGUGGCUCACGCCUGUAAUCCCAGCAGUUUGGGAGGCUGAGUUACGUGGAUCACCUGAGUUCAGGAGUUCAAGACCAGCCUGGCCAAUAUAGUGAAACCCC
rnacentral:lncRNA from 1 species